ACACUAUUUAAGGCUUGGUUCCUCCCGACACAUCAGAUCAGCAACUGCUGUAGAAUGACCGAGGGGAGCCUGCAGUUGUGUGCACUAUUUUCAUCGAACGCAUUGUAUUUUCGUGUUAACACCCAGAUCUGAGCGUUGGGGCAGAGUUGGGUCGACCACUGUCGACAUGAACAAACUUCAUGCUGAGCUGAGCGAGCGGGAGAAGGAGCGGCUGAUGAUCCGCAGGGCUAGUGGAGCCAAAGCUUCCCAGCUGGCUCAGAUGGAGAAAAUGCUUCAUCAGACCAAGGGCCUUCUGGAGAAGAAGACGGAGAUGGGUGCAUCAGAAAACCAAACUAAAGAAAAAGCUUACGGGGACAAUAUGGUGCACGACCUGGAGGAGAAAGUGCAGCGCAGCAAGCGCGACCGGCGGAACUCGCUGCACCGCACACAGCUGCUGGAGAGCCAGAUGAAGACCGUGCGCGGCGAGCUGGAGAACACGCUGGACCACCUGGAGGAGCUGCGCAGCAAACUGCGCCGCUCCCAGCAGAACGCGGAGGAGCGCAAGGCUGCCAUGGAGAAACUGGCUGCGGGGCUCAGAUGAGGCUUGCUGGCCGCCUCCUGCUUCAGGCUGAUCCAGGAGGCCGAAGGUCUCCCAGCCUCCCUCCCCUAGCUCUUCUGGCCCUCUGUGAUCCUUAGCUCCUCUAAGCUGCCCAGAUCAGGCAGCCACCUGCAUCAGAAAGUGCAUUUAUUGUCUGAAACUGUUGCACCCCGUUGCCCUGCAGAGUCUCUGUGGCUGUGAAAGGGGAAUCAGGGUGUCUUUUUUUUAAAAGCACAUCAAAAAACUUUAGUUUCGUUAAACCUCCGAAAUCUAUAUGGCCUUACACUUUAAUGUUUUUCCAUUAUCUGGUUGUGUUGUCACCUCCCAAACAUUUUUUAGUGACUGAUCUGGUUCACAAACAUUGCCUGAAUUUACGAUCCUGGAAAAGAUGUUUUCCAAAGACUGUAUUCCAGUGUGUGGUAAACAACACAGAUCUCCCCUGAGAACACACCACACAGCCCACAUCCAUGGAUCGCUGCGCGCAUGACGUCCAUCUCCUUUUGUCUGUACAGAACCCAGCAUGCUUUAGUGCACACCUCCUCUCCUUAUGAUGGUAUGAGUGUGUAGCGGGAUUUUUGUGGAGUCUCUGGUUUGAUUUCAAAUGUUUUAUAACAAAGUACAUCAUAUUUUGGCAUGCCCUGAAGUUCAUACAUUAUGAAAAGCAAAUAUCUGUGCAUUAUCCAUUUUAUUGGUGGAUUGUCUCAGCAGAUGCCCAAGAUCAUGUAUUUGAUAUCAUUUUUAUGAGGCCGAUACAUCCCCAGGUCUGCAUGAAUCCUUAAUACAUUUCUAGAUCCCACUUCAAAUCUAUAACUGUACAGCCCAUCCAGAGAGACCAGCGUCAUGCAUGGAAGUAAAGAGAAAAGGCCUUAAACCAGCCAGUUUUUUGUUACAACUUCCACUCUCGACACUCCACUCACUGUGUGCACUAUCAUCUCCUUUCAGAUGCAGCUGUAAUGAGCUUAACGCUUUGGUUAUUUAAUGCAGUGAUUAAUUUGUUUUCUGGUAACAUGUUAUUUAAUCUCAGCCGAUGAAGUGACCACAUUCUAAUUUCUUAAGCAAUCACGUGGAAGACACGUAGCAUAAUCAUGGAAAAUCCACCAUCACAGUUUUUCAGAAAGAUCAAGUCUUUGGCCUGCAUCAAGCAAAUAAAACAGAUGUGCAAAUGAUUUAUUUGAACUUG
rnacentral:lncRNA from 1 species